CACUCUGUUGGCCUAGUGGUUAGAGCAUCCACCUUGUAUGCGUAAGGUCAUGGGUUCAAUCGCCGGUCAAGUCA